AAGCGUGCUCCGGGGUCGGUGGAAGUCCGAACCGGCGGUGACAGUCCGCGAGCCGGUCGCAGCCAGCGGCCGGUCGACCCGGUGCAAUUCCGGGACCGACGGUGAGAGUCCGGAUGGGAGGCAGCGCGC
rnacentral:ncRNA from 1 species